ensembl:lncRNA
CUGAUGGAGAAGGGCUGUCCACACAUUCUGACAGAGGUGGCUGGACACCUGGCCUCCUUUUCGGCAGGAAAUGUGGCAGAGAAGGUGGAAGCUGAAUUAGUGAGGAUGACUCCUGCUCCUGUCAUCUCUAAGCUCCUCACACAUCUUUACCUGCACAUGAGGAAAAUCACUCCUGUAGAAUGCAGAUGCACAAUGAGGGACGUCUGCAGAGACUGAGAAAGAGUCUCACCACAUCCUGACAUGAGGAAAAAGACUUUAUUGAAGACUACAAUGAGAAAAACUAUCAGACAGCAGACGGCUGCAUUCAAGAGAGGAAGACCAUCAAACAUCCAUGUCAGCUGAUGGAGGUCCAAGAGUCUCACCAAACAAACAACCUACAGAGUGAAGACCUCAAAUCUGAUUGGACGGCCUCCUAUUCAGCCACAUGUGUGAACAAAUGCCUCUAAGCUGAUUUGUUUUCUAAAAUAAAUCUAGUUUGAGUCCUAAUCUAUGCCUGUGUGUUUGCUUCUUUACACCGCUGUUAACAGUUUAGGCUGUUAGAUUGUUCCAGAUAAGAAAAGUAAAAGAUACUUCAGAGCCUUCAGAGGUUCAAAGCCAACACCGACUACGUGGACUUCUACUGGACCACACGGAGGCCUGCAAACC